UACGUAGGGAGCAAGCGUUGUCCGGAAUCAUUGGGCGGAAAGAGCGCGUAGGUGGCUUUAUAAGUCCGUUGUGAAAGUCAAAGGCUCAACCUUUGAAAGCCGAUGGAUACUGUGAAGCUAGAGUACGGAAGAGGCGAGUGGAAUUCCUGGUGUAGCAGUGGAAUGCGCAGAUAUCAGGAGGAACACCAAUAGCGAAGGCAGCUCGCUGGGACGUUACUGACACUGAGGCGCGAAAGCGUGGGGAGCGAACAGG
rnacentral:rRNA from 1 species